GAUGAACGCUGACAGAAUGCUUAACACAUGCAAGUCAACUUGAAUUUGGGUUUUUAACUUAGAUUUGGGUGGCGGACGGGUGAGUAACGCGUAGAGAACUUGCCUCACAGUUAGGGACAACAUUUAGAAAUGAAUGCUAAUACCUGAUAUUAUGGUUAUAGGGCAUCCUAUAACUAUGAAAGCUAUAAGCACUGUGAGAGAGCUUUGCGUCCCAUUAGCUAGUUGGAGAGGUAACAGCUCACCAAGGCGAUGAUGGGUAGCCGGCCUGAGAGGGUGAACGGCCACAAGGGGACUGAGACACGGCCCUUACUCCUACGGGAGGCAGCAGUGGGGAAUAUUGGACAAUGGACCGAGAGUCUGAUCCAGCAAUUCUGUGUGCACGAUGAAGUUUUUCGGAAUGUAAAGUGCUUUCAGUUGGGAAGAAAGAAAUGACGGUACCAACAGAAGAAGUGACGGCUAAAUACGUGCCAGCAGCCGCGGUAAUACGUAUGUCACGAGCGUUAUCCGGAUUUAUUGGGCGUAAAGCGCGUCUAGGUGGUUAUGUAAGUCUGAUGUGAAAAUGCAGGGCUCAACUCUGUAUUGCGUUGGAAACUGUAUAACUAGAGUACUGGAGAGGUAAGCGGAACUACAAGUGUAGAGGUGAAAUUCGUAGAUAUUUGUAGGAAUGCCGAUGGGGAAGCCAGCUUACUGGACAGAUACUGACGCUAAAGCGCGAAAGCGUGGGUAGCAAACAGG
rnacentral:rRNA from 1 species